AGCGUAGACGGAAUGGCAAGUCUGGUGUGAAAGGCCGGGGCUCAACCCCGGGACUGCAUUGGAAACUGCCAAUCUAGAGUACCGGAGGGGUAAGUGGAAUUCCUAGUGUAGCGGUGAAAUGCGUAGAUAUUAGGAGGAACACCAGUGGCGAAGGCGGCUUACUGGACGGUAACUGACGUUGAGGCUCGAAAGCGUGGGGAGCAAACA
rnacentral:rRNA from 1 species